AAACAAAAGAGAGGAAAAUUCAGCCAAGUGGUAGAAUCAACGAGACAAAGGAAGAAGAGAGGAGAAGAAAAGAUCGAAAAUGGGAGAAAAUGAAGGAAUUCAACAACUUCAACAAAAUCCAUUAAAGAAGUGUUCCAAGGUCAAGCCUUGAAGAAGUUAAACCUUUGUGCAUGGAGCCAACUGCUAAUGACCUCAAGCUAACUGAGCUCUUUGUUGUGGAUAAGUUAUUUGCAAAGCCUUGGAACGUUCAUCGCUAUGUGUCAAGCCUUGAAGGAGUUAAACCUUUGUGCACGGAGCCAACUGUGAGCAGUAGUGUAGUAAAAUUAUGUUUCUUAAAAUUAUGAUUUGAAAUGUAGACAUAUGGUAUGUUUAAGGAAGCUAUAUUAUUGUUUUGCUAUGAAUGAACAUCAUAUACAUGUAUUAAGAUGACUGCUUGAAACAAGUUUGUUAUUAGAAAUCAAGCCAAUGACCUCAAGUUAACUGAGCU